UACGUAGGUGGCAAGCGUUAUCCGGAUUUAUUGGGCGUAAAGGGAACGCAGGCGGUCUUUUAAGUCUGAUGUGAAAGCCUUCGGCUUAACCGGAGUAGUGCAUUGGAAACUGGGAGACUUGAGUGCAGAAGAGGAGAGUGGAACUCCAUGUGUAGCGGUGAAAUGCGUAGAUAUAUGGAAGAACACCAGUGGCGAAAGCGGCUCUCUGGUCUGUAGCUGACGCUGAGGUUCGAAAGCGUGGGGAGCAAACAGG
rnacentral:rRNA from 1 species